rnacentral:tRNA from 1 species
AUCUCUUUAGUUAAAAUAGUAUAACAUCUGACUGAAGAUCAGAAAGUACAGGUGCAAGUCUUGUAAGAGAUA